AGAGUGAACGCUGGCGGUAGGCCUAACACAUGCAAGUCGAACGGCAGCACAGUGGUAGCAAUACCAUGGGUGGCGAGUGGCGGACGGGUGAGGAAUACAUCGGAAUCUACCUUUUCGUGGGGGAUAACGUAGGGAAACUUACGCUAAUACCGCAUACGCCCUUUGGGGGAAAGCCGGGGAUCGCAAGACCUGGCGCGGCUAGAUGAGCCGAUGUCGGAUUAGCUAGUUGGUGAGGUAAUGGCUCACCAAGGCGACGAUCCGUAGCUGGUCUGAGAGGAUGAUCAGCCACACUGGAACUGAGACACGGUCCAGACUCUUACGGGAGCAGCAGUGGGGAAUA
rnacentral:rRNA from 1 species